GACGAACGCUGGCGGCGUGCCUAACACAUGCAAGUCGAGCGAGUGAAUCUCCUUCGGGAGUGAAGCUAGCGGCGGACGGGUGAGUAACACGUGGGCAACCUGCCUCCUAGAGGGGAAUAGCCUUUCGAAAGGAAGAUUAAUACCGCCUAAGAUUGUAGCUUCGCACGAAGUAGCAAUUAAAGGAGCAAUCCGCUAUGAGAUGGGCCCGCGGGGCAUUAGCUAGUUGGUGAGGUAACGGCUCACCAAGGGGACGAUGCGUAGCCGACCUGAGAGGGUGAUCGGGCACAUUGGGACUGAGACAAGGCCCAGACUCCUACGGGAGGCAGCAGUGGGGAAUAUUGCACAAUGGGGGAAACCCUGAUGCAGCAACGCCGCGUGAGUGAUGACGGCCUUCGGGUUGUAAAGCUCUGUCUUCAGGGACGAUAAUGACGGUACCUGAGGAGGAAGCCACGGCUAACUACGUGCCAGCAGCCGCCGUAACAC
rnacentral:rRNA from 1 species